rnacentral:rRNA from 1 species
UACGGAGGGUGCAAGCGUUAUCCGGAUUCACGUUGGUUAAAGGGUGCGUAGGCGGAUAGGUAAGUCCGUGGUGAAAUCCUGCAGCUUAACUGCAGAACUGCCAUGGAUACUAUUUAUCUUGAAUAUCGUGGAGGUUAGCAGAAUAUGUCAUGAGCGGUGAAAUGCUUAGAUAUGACAUAGAAUACCCAUUGCGAAGGCAGCUAACUACGCGAUGAUUGACGCUGAUGCACGAAAGCGUGGGGAUCAAACAGG